rnacentral:rRNA from 1 species
UGCGUAGGCGGAAUAAUAAGUCAGUGGUGAAAGCCUGCGGCUCAACCGUAGAAUUGCCAUUGAUACUGUUAUUCUUGAGUAUAGUUGAGGUGGGCGGAAUGUGUAAUGUAGCGGUGAAAUUCAUAGAUAUUACACAGAACACCAAUUGCGAAGGCAGCUCACUAAACUAUCACUGACGCUGAGGCACGAAAGCGUGGGGAGCAAACAGGAUUAGAUACCCUGGUAGUCC